rnacentral:rRNA from 1 species
UACAGAGGUCGCGAGCGUUGUUCGGAUUCAUUGGGCGUAAAGGGUGCGUAGGUGGCGCUGUAAGUCGGGUGUGAAAUCCUGGGGCUUAACCCCGGAACUGCAUUCGAUACUGCAGUGCUUGAGGACUGGAGAGGAGACUGGAAUUCAUGGUGUAGCAGUGAAAUGCGUAGAGAUCAUGAGGAAGACCAGUGGCGAAGGCGGGUCUCUGGACAGUUCCUAACACUGAGGCACGAAGGCCAGGGGAGCAAACGGG